rnacentral:rRNA from 1 species
UACGAAGGGGGCUAGCGUUGCUCGGAUUGACUGGGCGUAAAGGGCGCGUAGGCGGUUCGUACAGUCAGACGUGAAAUUCCUGGGCUCAACCUGGGGGCUGCGUUUGAUACGUGCGGACUUGAGUGCGGAAGAGGGUCGUGGAAUUCCCAGUGUAGAGGUGAAAAUUCGUAGAUAUUGGGAAGAACACCGGUGGCGAAGGCGCCACUCUGGGCCGAAACUGACGCUGAGGAGCGAAAGCGUGGGUAGCGGAACAGG